rnacentral:sRNA from 1 species
UCUCACCGAAGCGGCUGCCACCCGGAGC